CAAUUAAAGUGAGAACUUCAUUAAGUUCGGUCCAAGAAAUUUAUAAAUAUGAAGAUUUUUGUGUUGUUCAUGACGAUGCUAAGUUAUGUUUUGGCGGCCAGUGUUUUAGUACCUUUAACGUCUGUUAUACGUACUCCCGAAGAUGAUACUGCCAUUGUGGAAAGUUCUCGUAUUAGAGGAAAUUUUGCUUAUAGCACUGUGGAGGGUCAUGCUUAUAAAGCUAUAACACCAAUAUUGGGUCAUAUUGUAACACCGGACUACUUGCAGCCUGUUAAUUAUGUAUAUGUGCACAAUUCAUAAAUGAAACAGUUUAAAUAAAAUAAUUUUAAAAACUUA